AUAAGAUACCUCUUCUUUAUUUCCAAUUCCGUUCCCAAAUCCUUACGGCUCUUUGCAAACCCGAUUUUUUUGGAGUCACCCAACAAAUUUUGAAGAGAUCAGCGGCCUGUAAUUAAAAAAUCCCACGUUCUCACCUUCAUCUUCACCAACUUCAUAAUCAAAGAAUGCUCAAACCCUCUGAACAUAUAGACCCACGUAAUCCUAUUCAAACCCGUUGUCUGCAAAACUUAAUCAGCCGCAAUUGCCCUUAUUUGACACAACUGUUUUUUCUGAAAAAUAAAAUAUCAAUCAGCAGCGAUAGACCCAAUUUGACAUAAAGUUUAAAUACUGGUAGCGAGGAAUUCAAUUCUCGCAUCUCACCAAAUGAAAAAUAACGAAAUCCUCUUUCUAGUAUAUGUAACCGCCUCUAAUUUAUUCUAAGUUUUGCUGUGAAAGCUUUUAAAUCCAAUCGUCACUGUUAGACCCAACUGCCACUUUUAGGCCCAAUUGCCCUUACCAGCGCCAGUUACCCAUAUUUGCCCCAAUUUUGCUAGCAUGGAGGUGAGUCUUACGCCGAAUUCAAUUGUAGCGAUGAACAAUGGGGAUGACAAUCUACGUCCCCUCGUGCAGGUGUUAGAUAUACGACAGAUUUCGACUACUCAAAGCGUGCAGGAACGCUACAGAUUGGUGGUCUCGGAUGGCUCUUACAUGCAACAGGCCAUGCUUGCUACACAGCUCAAUGCCACCGUAAAAUCCGGGCAUCUUCAGAAAGGCUCCGUUGUUCAAUUGACGGAAUAUACCUGCAAUGCCGUCCAAAAUCGCAAGAUUAUCAUAGUCUUAAACAUGAAUCUUAUUGUUCCCAAGCAAGACAUUGUGGGCAAUCCCAAACAGCUGACUGAUACAGGUGUAAAUGCUCAGCAUCAGCCUGCAACGUCAAUGCAAUCUGCACCCCAAGCCCAGCCUUUGCCACAGGCCCAGCCUGCACAGAAUACAAUGAGGUCAAACUUGAACAUGCCACCUCAAUCUGCCACCUUACACAUGUCAGGUGCUGGAUUGGGUUCAUAUGCAAGGACUGGGCAGCCUGCUGUUCAGCCAGUUCAGAGUGCUGGAGCAGUUGACCGAGGUAUGAAUCCUCCCAACCAUCCAUAUGGUCGUCCAAUUGUUGCUCAUCCAUAUCAGCCACCUCCUAUCUAUUCUAAUAGAGGGCCCAUUGCAAGAAAUGAGGCUCCUGCAAGAAUUAUUCCUAUUGUGGCACUGAAUCCUUACCAGGGUAGAUGGACGAUAAAGGCUAGAGUUACUGCAAAGGGUGAACUUCGUCGUUUCAACAAUGCAAAAGGAGAUGGAAGAGUUUUCAGUUUUGAUCUGCUUGAUUCUGAUGGUGGUGAAAUAAGAGUCACGUGUUUUAAUGCUGUUGCAGAUCAGUUCUAUGAUCGCAUAGAGAGUGGGAGAGUGUAUAUGAUCUCAAAGGGGAGCCUGAAACCUGCACAGAAGAAUUUCAAUCAUUUAAAGAAUGAUUGGGAAAUUUUUUUAGAAAGUAGUUCUACUGUUGAGUUGUGUUUGGAGGAGGAUAGCUCGAUACCAAAGCAGCACUUCAGUUUUAGACCAAUAAGUGAAAUUGAGGAUAUAGAAAAUAAUUCUAUGGUUGAUAUUAUUGGUGUAGUUUUAUCAAUCAAUCCAUCAAACACAAUAUUGAGAAGGAAUGGCACAGAGACUCAGAAAAGAACUCUUCAACUAAAGGACAUGUCAGGUUGCAGUGUGGAGUUGACAAUGUGGGGUGGUUUCUGCAAUAAGGAAGGCCAACAACUCCAAGAACUAUGUGAUUCAGGAGUUUUUCCCAUUCUUGCUGUAAAGGCUGGACGUAUUAGUGAUUUUGGUGGAAAAUCCGUGGGAACAAUCACCACAAGCCAACUUUUUAUAAAUCCGGAUCUUCCAGAGUCGCAACAAUUGAGAUGCUGGUUUGAUACACAAGGGAAGAGUCUGGCUUCUCAGUCUAUUACAAAGGACAUGCCAUCUCUUGGACGAGCUGAAAUGUUGAAAACUGUGACACAAAUUAAGGAUGAGGGACUUGGUAGAUCUGAUAAACCUGACUGGAUUGUGAUAAAAGCAACUUUAUCUUUCAUAAAGGUGGACAAUUUUUGUUACACUGCUUGCACCUUAAAGGAUGGAGGUAGGCAAUGCAACAAGAAGGUGAUCAAUAAUGGAGAUGGUAAUUGGUAUUGUGAAAAAUGUGAUAAGAGUUCCCCUGAAUGUGAUUAUAGAUAUCUUCUUCAAUGUCAAGUGCAAGAUCAUACUGGUUUGACUUGGGUUACUGCUUUUCAAGAAGCAGGAGAAGAAAUUAUGGGUGUUACGGCAAAGGAAUUAUUCAUGUUGAAGAAUGAAGAACAAGAUGAUGUCAAAUUUGGAGAGAUUAUACGAAAAGUUCUUUUCAAUAAAUAUAUCUUUAAACUUAAAGUGAAAGAAGAGACUUAUAAUGAUGAACAGAGGGUUAAGUGCAUUGUUGUAAAAACAGAAAGAUUUGAUUAUUCAUCUGAAAGCAAGGUAUUGUUAGAUUCAAUUGCUAAGCUCAACAAUGGAGAGUUUAAUAAUAUAAAUAUGACAGCGGAAAGAUCAACAAAUGGGGGAACAACUACUGGAUCGUAUAAUGCUGGAUAUAGUGGUUCAGCCAGAAGUUAUGGUUCUAAUAACCUGGCCACAAAUAACAUUGGUCAGAAUAUUGGAGGAGGUGGGGAUCAUUUUGCCAAUUCAGGUGGCUAUGGAGGAACACAUAGUACAAGUUCAAAUAUGUAUCCAGAUCGUAUCCCACCAGCCUAUGGUGGUGGGAAUGCUGUAGGAGGCUAUGAUAUGAGGACAGGUGGAUAUGGUGGCGGUUACUGAGCAGUAUUGGCUGCAGAGUGCAAAGCAGAAACAAAGAUUUUCAAAUUAUGAGAUUGCUGUCAUUGUUUGCAUUCUACUGCAAGCAAUACCUUCAGUAUCUACAAGACUUAAAGUGUAACAUCACACUGACAACAAUUUUGAAUUACAAGCACAAGUUGAAGUUGUAUUGAACAAGCUCAUUGUUCUCUACUGGGCUUAACUCUUAACAUUACAAAUUUGAAGACCGCUGGAUUGCAAAAUGCUUGAGCAGAGGUGGUGUAUAUGAUUUGAAAAGCUCAACAUUAAGUUCAAAUGCACGUACAAGCAUGAAAAUCUAGGACAAAACUGUUCUGACUUGCAGGGUGAAGUAUGGUGAAGGAAUUUUCAGCAUUCCAUAAGGACCUUGGAAUUGCUUUUUCUGUAUUUGCAUCCAAAUUGUCACAAAUGGGAUGAAAUGUGCUGUGGCCGAUGUAAAUCCCAAAGUGUGCUCUGGCCAAUGUAAAUCAUGAUGUUCCCUGUACUUCAAUUGUUGAGGAGUAUAUUUGAAGACAUCAAAUUUCCAGCCCAUAAUACCGAGCACGUUGAGUGUGGCGUGAGCAAGUUUAAGUGGUGCCGUGGGGUUUAGGGCCCAAUCCUAGACGUUGAAGAAAGGGGCCAGCCCUUUGGGCGGAUUCCAAUGUUGCCCAAGGCAAUUGGAAUCCGCCAUUCCCAAUUACAAUCAACACAUUGGACAAAUUUGAGCUUAACUAACCACUCAAUUCCCAUAAAUCUUUAUAGUAGUGACAAAAACUUGGGUUCGGGCCACUGGUUUGAAAAUUUGAAAUUAAAAGAUAGGGGAAUCAUUUUUUUU